rnacentral:rRNA from 1 species
AACGAACGCUGGCGGCGCGCCUAAUACAUGCAAGUCGAGCGAGAAGGUGUAGCAAUACACUUGUAAAGCGGCGAACGGGUGAGGAAUACAUGGGUAAUCUACCAUCGAGUGGGGAAUAACCAACCGAAAGGUUGGCUAAUACCGCGUACGCCUCCGAGUCUUCGGGUUCGGAGGGAAAGCUGCACUGUGAGUGUAGCGCUCUUUGAUGAGCUCAUGUCCUAUCAGCUUGUUGGUAGGGUAACGGCCUACCAAGGCUUUGACGGGUAGCUGGUCUGAGAGGACGAUCAGCCACACUGGCACUGCGACACGGGCCAGACUCCUACGGGAGGCAGCAGUAAGGAAUAUUGCGCAAUGGGCGAAAGCCUGACGCAGCGACGCCGCGUGGGGGAUGAAGGUCUUCGGAUUGUAAACCCCUUUCGGAGGGAAGAUGGAACGAGCAAUCGUUCGGACGGUACCUCCAGAAGCAGCCACGGCCAACUUCGUGCCAGCAGCCG